rnacentral:misc_RNA from 1 species
GAUGAAGAACGUAGCGAAAUGCGAUACGUAAUGUGAAUUGCAGAAUUCAGUGAAUCAUCGAAUCUUUGAACGCACAUUGCGCCCGCCAGCACUCUGGCGGGCAUGCCUGUUCGAGCGUCAUUUCAACCAUCAAGCCCCAGGCUUGCGUUGGAGCCCUGCGGCUGCCGCAGCCUCCUAAAAGCAGUGGCGGGCUCGCUAUCACACCGAGUGCAGUAGAUUACUCUUCGCUCAGGGCGUGCAGCGGGUUCCGGCCGUGAAACUCCCUACUUUUAAAGGUUGACCUCGGAUCAGGUAGGAAUACCCGCUGAACUUAAGCAUAUCAAUAAGCGGAGGA